rnacentral:rRNA from 1 species
AGGACGAACGCUGGCGGCGUGCCUAACACAUGCAAGUGGAGCGACGAACCGGGGCUUGCCCCGGGGCGGAGCCGCGAACGGGUGAGUAACACGUGGGUUACCUGCCCCGAUGACUGGGACAACCCGUCGAAAGACGGGCUAAUACCGGAUGUGCCCCUUGGGGGAAAGGAAGCUUCGGCCUCCGCAUCGGGAUGGGCCCGCGGCGCAUUAGCUUGUUGGUGGGGUAAUGGCUUACCAAGGCGACGAUGCGUAGCUGGUCUGAGAGACGAUCAGCCACACUGGGACUGAGACCACGGCCCAGACUCCGUACGGGAGCAGCAGUGGGGAAUCGUUGCAACGAAUGCGACGAAAGCGUAGAUGGCACGCAACGCCGCGU